rnacentral:ncRNA from 1 species
GACAAUUGUUUAGUAAUAAAUAUUUGUAUUAAAUUACGAUUGGUAACGGUGAGUGAACUGGGAAGAGUCCAGCGCUGAAUCACUUCUCCUCUGGGGUUGUGAGGUGUAGCGUACAGACCGUGAGCUUGGAUUGGCCCGCUUGUUCAAGUUUCCCUUGACCGGGGCUCCAGAGAAGGUGCAAGACCUGUCCAACGGGUGGUUGCCUAUCCAUCUUCGCGUGUCUUGGAGUCGGGUUGUUUGGGAUCGCAGCCCAAAGUAGGUGGUAAACUUCAUCUAAGACUGAAUACGGCCACGAGUCCGAUAGCGAACAAGUACCGUGAGGGAAAGUUGCAAAGCACUUUGAAGAGAGAGUUAAAGAGGACGUGAAACCGAUGAGAUGGAAACGGACAGAGCUGGCGUAUCUGGUCUGCAUUCAUCCGUGUGUUCUUGGGCGUUUGGAUUGCCAAUCUCCAGACUGGGAUGGUGUUCAUUCUGCUCAGGGGCUCAUGGAGCAUUUGCAGGCGGAGUGCGCUGAGAUGCUCGGGACAGCUGCAUGAGCUUGGCUUUGAGGCCAGCCCUUCGGGGUCUGGUACCCGGGCUGUGGGAGUGCUGUUUGUUCUGGGUGCUGAGUGUGUGCAAUGGCAACGGGUCCGUGUUGGUUUGAGCUGGUGGUUGGUGGCGGUCGCGUGCGACACGUGCCGGCAGUCAGUUCGGUCCUGCUCGGGCUCUCAUUGCAUGUUCUCGGUGUAAAAGCCGGUCAUCUGUCCGACCCGUCUUGAAACACGG